UACAGAGGGGGCAAGCGUUGUUCGGAAUUACUGGGCGUAAAGGGCGCGUAGGCGGCCUGCUAAGUCGAACGUGAAAUCCCUGGGCUCAACCCAGGAACUGCGUCCGAUACUGGUUGGCUUGAAUCCGGGAGAGGGAUGUGGAAUUCCAGGUGUAGCGGUGAAAUGCGUAGAUAUCUGGAGGAACACCGGUGGCGAAGGCGACAUCCUGGACCGGUAUUGACGCUGAGGCGCGAAAGCCAGGGGAGCAAAGCGGG
rnacentral:rRNA from 1 species